GGUAGGGGUGUUGUCCCUAAGUUCACUGCAUACUUUAAAGCAACUGGUUUAACCUAAGAGUGGGCAGAGUGGGAGAGAUCUGUGCUUUCUAGUUAUUACAGCUCUGAAAUGAGCACUUCUCUGUCCCAGAGUCAGCUGGCACCACUUCAUGGACCUGGGAACUCAGCCAUGGACCACACCCAGUGACUAUGGAAAUUGUUAUGGUAGGCAUCUGAAGACUGAAAGGUUGCCAGCUGCUACUAACUCGCUGAAUGGCAAAGGAAUGAAUAGUAUAGUCUAAGGAACCUGCCGUGUGUCUCUGGUGACUACAAAAUAAUGUCUCAAAAACUUUGAGGACUUGAGACAGUGUCAGUGAUGUCAAAGCUUUCUAGAUAUUUUAUCCUCAGAAAAGGAAAGAACAUUUAAAAAGGAAAAAUUACUGUAUUUUUUUAAAUGAACACUUAUAAGUUUGAAUUAUGGCUAAUGUUGCCAUAACUCUGGUGAUGACUAGGGACAUCUUCCCAGAAGUUUCAGAACCUGUAUCAACAUUCUACCCAAAAGAGUGAUCAGGGUACACAGAUGAAUGCUAGU
rnacentral:lncRNA from 1 species